AAAUUAUGACGUUUUAUUUUUGGGUUAAAUAUUCCGGUAAAUAUGAGUAUAAAACUGAUUUUGGGAGGACUAGAUUAUGAAAUCAAUAAGUAAUGUAUUAAGUUAGUCAGUUGCUCAGACGUUUUCUUCUUAUCUGUUGCUGAGCAACGGACACGACGACAUCGUCAGGCCAAAUCUUCACUAGCAGAACAACCGCUAGAGGACACCAACACCUAAUUUACAGAGAACUCACUCGAUAUUCUCGCUCAAAAUAAGAAACAGCUCGAUAUUAUGCAGUUCAAAGUGUAAAUACAUACAUAUACUACUCUCACGAAAGAUAUAGUAAGACAGUGUGCGUCAAUCAGGCAUUGUGCAAUUCGCGCGCAUACAAACGUUUCACAGAGAACCGACAAGGUGAGUCUUUGGGUCAUGGAUCGGUGAGCUACAUGUCAGGAGACCAAACGGCCCCCUGAUUGACAGGAAAGAGAGACUUUAAUGCCGUGGAGACCAUCGAUGGAGCCAAGAGAGGACCUGGGUGAGGGGGAAUUGGAUUUUGCAGUUGCCGGGUCCUCAUGCUUUUUGAAGCCAAGAAAAGCAACCCAGCUGAACAAAU